CGAAUUUGAACAUAGACUUCGAACUAAUGAUGUGCCGGAGUUCAAGUAUGUUACUCCAGCAAUUGAAUCUUCCAUGGACAUUUUGGCAGUUGAUUAACAAUCAGCACAAUGUUGAAGAGUAAGCACAAACCUUCAUCCAAGGCAUGAAAACAUUUUCAGGAUCUAGCAGAGACCUUGACAAAGCAGUCGUGAAAAUGCAAUCUCAGCAGGGAAGCAGCCAUGCGUGUUUCUUUCGCGACAGCUUUGGCCACAAUGGACUUGACAAUCUCUUGAGCUCUGGGGCAAGACUUGUCAUAAUAUUGCAGGUAGAGGU